rnacentral:rRNA from 1 species
CCGACGGUGAGGGGUGAAAGCUGGGGGAGCAAACCGGAUUAGAUACCCGGGUAGUCCCAGCUGUAAACGAUGCGCGUUAGGUGUAUCAGUGACCACGAGUCACUGAGGUGCCGAGGAGAAAUCGCGAAACGUGCCGCCUGGGAAGUACGGUCGCAAGGCUGAAACUUAAAGGAAUUGGCGGGGGAGCACCACAACAGGUGGAGCCUGCGGUUUAAUCGGACUCAACGCCGGGAAACUCACCAGUUAAGACAGCUGAAUGAUAGUCGGGCUGAAGACUCUACUUGACUAGCUGAGAGGAGGUGCAUGGCCGUCGUCAGUUCGUACUGUGAAGCAUCCUGUUAAGUC